UUUCCGUAGGUGAACCUGCGGAAGGAUCAUUACACGAUAGUACAGGCCCUAAGCUGUAGCAAUACAGCCCAUGGGCUCAUGUCUAUUACCCUUGUUUUUUGAGUACCUAUGUUUCCUUGGUGGGCUUGCCCACCAAUUGGACACCCUAUUAAACCUUUUUUUAAUUUUCAAUCAGCGUCUGAAUAAACCUAAUAAUUACAACUUUCAACAACGGAUCUCUUGGUUCUG
rnacentral:misc_RNA from 1 species